rnacentral:rRNA from 1 species
ACGGGGGGAGCAAACGUUGUUCGGAAUCACUGGGCGUAAAGGGCGUGUAGGCGGCUGAAUAAGUGGGAUGUUAAAUCCCCAGGCUCAACCUGGGAACUGCAUCUCAUACUGUUCAGCUCGAGCACAUCAGAGGAGACUGGAAUUCCCGGUGUAGCGGUGAAAUGCGUAGAUAUCAGGAGGAACACCGAUGGCGAAGGCAGCUCGCUGGGACGGUACUGACGCUGAGGCGCGAAAGCGUGGGGAGCAAACAGGA